rnacentral:rRNA from 1 species
GAAUCAGUGUGUGUGUUAGUGGAAGCGUCUGGAAAGGCGCGCGAUACAGGGUGACAGCCCCGUACACAAAAAUGCACAUGCUGUGAGCUCGAUGAGUAGGGCGGGACACGUGGUAUCCUGUCUGAAUAUGGGGGGACCAUCCUCCAAGGCUAAAUACUCCUGACUGACCGAUAGUGAACCAGUACCGUGAGGGAAAGGCGAAAAGAACCCCGGCGAGGGGAGUGAAAAAGAACCUGAAACCGUGUACGUACAAGCAGUGGGAGCACAGAGCAAUCUGUGUGACUGCGUACCUUUUGUAUAAUGGGUCAGCGACUUAUAUUCUGUAGCAAGGUUAACCGAAUAGGGGAGCCGAAGGGAAACCGAGUCUUAACUGGGCGUUAAGUUGCAGGGUAUAGACCCGAAACCCGGUGAUCUAGCCAUGGGCAGGUUGAAGGUUGGGUAACACUAACUGGAGGACCGAACCGACUAAUGUUGAAAAAUUAGCGGAUGACUUGUGGCUGGGGGUGAAAGGCCAAUCAAACCGGGAGAUAGCUGGUUCUCCCCGAAAGCUAUUUAGGUAGCGCCUCGUGAAUUCAUC